rnacentral:ncRNA from 1 species
UAGAAAAAAGAUAGGAAAAAAGAAAAGAGAAAUAAGCUACAGUGCACUGAUCUCUGCUGCGCGCACACGCACACCGGCGAGUGAACCCCAGCGGCAAUUCCGCCCGUCGCGAAAACGGGUUAAAAUUGCCGCCGGAGGGUUUUAGAUGCAAGGAAACGGUCAAAAAACCAUAAAAUUAAAAAAAGGUAGCCAAAUGCCUUGUCAUCUAAUUAGUGACGUGCAUGAAUGGAUUAGCGAGAUUCCCACUGUCCCUAUCUACUAUCUAGCGAAACCACAGCCAAGGGAACGGGCUUGGCGGAAUCAGCGGGGAAAGAAGACCCUGUUGAGCUUGACUCUAGUCCGACUUUGUGGAACGACUUGGGGGGUGUAGCAUAGGUGGGAGCUUCGGCGAUCGUGAAAUACCACUACCCUCAGUGUCGUUUUACUUAUUCCGUCAGGUUGAGACGCAUGCUCGGCAUGUGUUUUUGUCUUAAGGUGCCG